GACGAACGCUGGCGGCGUGCUUAACACAUGCAAGUCGAACGAAGUGGCGAACGGGUGAGUAACGCGUAAGCAACUUGCCCUUCAGAGGGGGACAACUGUUGGACACGACUGCUAAUACAGCAUACUGAAGGAGGGGAUUGCGUCUGAUUAGGUAGUUGGAUGGGUAACGGCCCACCAAGGCGAUGGUCAGUAGCCGGUCUGAGAGGGUGAACCGCCACAUUUGGACUGAGACACGGCCCAGACUCCUACGGGAGGCAGCAGUGGGGAAUCUUCCGCAAUGGACGAAAGUCUGACGGAGCAACGCCGCGUGAGGGAUGACGGCCUUCGGGUUGUAAAGCUCUGUUAAUCGGGACGCGGUACCGGAAUAGAAAGCCACGGCUAACUACGUGCCAGCAGCCGCGGUAAUAC
rnacentral:rRNA from 1 species